rnacentral:rRNA from 1 species
UACGGGGGAUCCAAGCGUUAUCCGGAAUUACUGGGCGUAAAGAGUUGCGUAGGCGGCUAAGUAAGUUAGUAGUGAAAGCGUGGGGCUCAACCUCAUAAACAUUAUUAAAACUACUUUGGCUAGAGGAUGAGAGAGGUGGCUGGAAUUCCCUGUGUAGGAGUGAAAUCCGUAGAUAUAGGGAGGAACACCGAUGGCGUAGGCAGGCCACUGGCUCAUUCCUGACGCUCAGGCACGAAAGCGUGGGGAGCGACCGGG